CACUGGCUCAAGCAGAAGAAGAGCCAGAAGCAGCUGCUAGGAAGCUGACGGAAACUGCGUUUACUCGGGGUAGUGCUGAUAAUAUUACUUGCAUAGUGGUGAGGUUUAAUCAUAAGAAGGCUGAAGCGGAGGGGAGCCAGCAAGGCUGAAGAAUUUAUUGAUGUUGCAGCUUCCUUUUCUGGAGCAAGGUUGCCUCAAAUGGGUUGUCGCCAAUGCAAAUUGCUGACUAUACCAUCAGAUGAGGCCGCCAUUUUUUCAUUCAUUUCUUUGCAUAAUUUUUCCAUUCUGUUUUAACUGUUGUAUUUAAGGUGUCUGUGCAUGCAUGUUUUCUCCGUUUCUGUAGAGGGUACUGUCUGGAUAAACUUUACUGUCAAACAUAGUAG
rnacentral:misc_RNA from 1 species